UGGAAGUUGCAUCUGUUAUUUCAAUAGCCCCUAAGGUAGCCAGGGAACUAAUAAUAAGAGAGAACAAACAAUAUCAAUAGCCUAUAGAAAAUGACAAGUUUAAGCUUAUAAAGAAAGAAAUUAUGUUAAAAACCACAUGGCCAAUAACCUGUCCACAUUCCUCCUAUGGAGAUUGACAUCGCCCAACCCUAGUGAACAGUAUGAGUUCUCACUGUAUCCCUCUCUUACUUUAACCCCUCAUCUAGAUGCCGACCACCCCUCCCUCCUCCCUCUAUGCCCACCCACCAGCUUUCCCGGCCUUUUCCUCCACCACACCACCCGCCCCCCCCUGUUCCCCGUACCCCUCCCCACCAUGCUCCCCAGGCCCUGGGGUGAAGGGGAUUGGAGGUUCCGGAGGGGUGACCCUGCGUUCUCCAGCCACUCGUCACCUCACCCACCUGGACCCCUGGAGGAGGCAUAGCUGGGAGCCUGUGGCUGUACUGACAGUGCAGCAGCAGGGGACGGAGCCCAGCGACAACCACAGUGUGAGUCUGGAGAACCUGGAGAUGGAGAAGGUUCUGGGAGCGGCACUGGGCGUCCGGCGAGUGGGGAGGAACCCCAUCACUCAGGAGGGCUCCUUGUCUUCCCUCACGGAAGAGGAGGCAGGGUCCGACCCGCAGCACUACUCCGUAUUGGAGGAACAGUCCAACCAGCUGCAGGGCUGCAGUGCGUCGGCCCCAACCCUCAGUGUGGUGCGUCGCAGCAACCCUCCCAGCACGGCCCCCCGACCACGCUCCAACUGCUACGAGACUUUACCCUACGGUCAACUUGGAGGAUCCACGCAGAGUGUGGAUAGGGACCUGGGUCUUCUGCUCUGGGGGAGAGAGGGAAGCUGGACGGAGAUCACGAGAGACCGGGCCCAGGAGGAGGUGACAGGCGGCCCUUUUGUGCGCACCUUCAGUUUCCUACGCAAGAUGGCCGGCAACCGCAAGGUAGGAGAGGCCUGCUUUCUGCAGUAGAGUAAAUCAUAUUUUAUUGACAGCGACGGGUAUGAAUGAAGGGCAGACUGAUAGAGGAGAAACGGUGUAGAAGAUUAGGAUUUCAUCCCUCGAAGACAUGGGAUUGCAUGUGCCAAAUGCGGUGGCCUUAACCGACCGACCAACCCACAGCACACGAGAUCUACGACUCAUUAUUUAUCUAAGGUCUCUUCUCAAUAGGGUAAUAUCAUUAUGACAACGACACUGUGUGGUGUUGCUGAUCAUAUUGAAUGGCGACCAGAAAGAUUUUACCUUUUGAACAAGGUGUGUUGACUCAUGACUGAAAUGGAAUGGAGAGUAAUAAACGUGUCAAAGGUCUGCAUAUAUUUUAGUUUUUUGCCUUUAGUCAAUAGCUAGUGAUAACAGAAUCAUUUUGUCUCCUAACUAGCCAUAAGUUGUCAUAACUCUCCUGUGACGAUCUGAAGGAUCAGGUUACAGUGGGUCCGCUCUACAGCGUGCUCGUUCUCGUAGAGGGGGAGAGUGGGAAGUCGGCUGUUUUAUGGCGGUCAUAAAACAUGCUGCAUCUAUGCUCUGUAGUGUGUGAGUUUGGAAUGCAAACUGUGGAACACAGAGACAUCCUUGGACAUCAAAAGUUUUGAAUAAUUAAACAAUAUUUAUAUUUUUGAGAAUGUGAGAGUGGUCUGUGGACACUUAAGGGACAGUCAUGAUGAGUGUGUUUCAUUUGGUGAUCUCAUGAAGGACAGGAAACAGUCAUUACUGUGUCUUUGGUUGUGUACACUUAAUUAUGGGGUUUACAUCUAAAUAUUGUGAAACGUAUAUGAUUAAACGUGGAACUAUUUGUGAAAAGAUGUAAUGUGAUGUUAACCUUCUAAAUGAGAAAAUAUGGGUUUUCAUAUAAAGUUAACCAAGUCAGUGGCCACUGCCAAGUGAGCAUAGACAUCACGUCGGCGUCAUGGACUGCACUUUUCUCAGUGAGUAUAAAACCCACUCCUUGCGAAAUGUACAUUAGACUAGAAAACAUGGAGCUGACGCUACAUGUUGAAAUGGUUAAGAACUACAACUCUAUAGGCCCAGGAGACCAGACAGCGUGUAGUGUUGGCUACACGGCUGGAAAUGGUUCAACUCUAAGACUAUCGAUCACUACAGAAUAAGAGCAAAUCCUAGACAUAGAAUUACUAGUCGUCUGCAGCUGGAAAUUACGUAAAUCUAGUACGAGAAUACCGACAACCGCAGAAGCAACUAUUCUAUGCAACAACCAUCUAUCUGUAUGCCUGACGGAUCCAUUACGACAGACACUAUCCAGAGCCGCUGAGAAAGCCACAACCACGAAAGACAUUGUGACUUCUGGGGAUGUUAACCAGAGACUCUCUGAUGAGCUGACUCUCCAGCAGACAGACCGGCGAUUCCAACAGAGAAGACAACAACGACAUAAGGGCGUAAAUAAAUACAUUGCAAUUAUUUUUGAAGGAGCGGCCAUUCAUGUGCAAAGGAUUAGCAUUUCAAUUAAUAUAAUUGUCAACUGUGUGUAGUGAAUCCAUUUUGUCUUUCCCGCUCUUUAUCCGUCCCCACUCCUUUCCAUUGUCUACCAAGCCGUCAUAGCGGUUUAGCCCACUAGGGACUUAUCGAUGCAUUGUGUUAGUAACCAAUUACUGUAUUGUUUGUUUAUGUAUUUCUGUGAUUUUAGUUAGUUAGUAAAUAAAUAAUUUUGCCAAUUUGUAUAUCGCUGAUUCAUUAUGGAGAGUACGGUUCCUGUGUCAAGAGUCAGUGUGCAGCAGGUGGGACGGAGUCAGGCGCAGGACACCGAGAAUGAGUAAUAAAGGUCUUUACUCAACAAAACAACAAAAUAUUCCACGUAGGGAAACAAACAGCUCACAAACAGCUCACAAACAUACGCAACAGCUUAACACGGAACAAACAUGCACAAAACCAAUGGGGAAACCAGAGGGUUGAAUAGGGAACAAUAAUUAAGAAAUGGAAAACAGGUGUGUACAAUGAAGACAAAACAAAUGGAAAAAGAAAACGUGGAUUGGUGGCAACUAGAAAACCGGUAACGACGACCACCGAACGCCGCCCGAACAAGGAGAGGGACCAACUUCGGCGGAAGUCGUGACAGUACCCCCCCCCCUUGACGCGCGGCUCCAGCAGCGCGCCGACACUGGCCUCAGGGAUGACCCGGAGGACGAUCCGGGUGGAGACCGUGAAACUCCCGCAGUAACGAAGGAUCCAGAAUGUCCUCCACCGGCACCCAGCAUCUCUCCUCCGGACCAUACCCCUCCCACUCCACGAGGUACUGAAGGCCCCUCGCCCGACGCCUUGAGUCCAUGAUGGCUCGAACAGCAUACGCCGGGACCCCUCGGUGUCCAGAGGGGGCGGAGGAACCUCCCGUACCUCAGAUCCCUGGAGCGGACCAGCCACCACCGGCCUGAGGAGAGACACAUGGAACAAGGGGUUAAUGCGGUAAUCGGGGG
rnacentral:lncRNA from 8 species